UACAGAGGUCCCGAGCGUUGUUCGGAUUCAUUGGGCGUAAAGGGUGCGUAGGCGGCGGGGCAAGUCUGAUGUGAAAUCCUGGGGCUCAACCCUGGAACUGCAUUGGAUACUGCCUUGCUAGAGUACUGGAGAGGAAACUGGAAUUUACGGUGUAGCAGUGAAAUGCGUAGAGAUCGUAAGGAAGACCAGUGGCGAAGGCGAGUUUCUGGACAGUUACUGACGCUGAGGCGCGACAGCGUGGGGGAGCAAACAGG
rnacentral:rRNA from 1 species